rnacentral:rRNA from 1 species
CACAUCAGCUCGAGUGAGGAUACGCGCUAAACUUAAACAUAUCAGUCGGCGCACGCAAUAAAAACUAACCAGGAUUCCCUUAGUAACGGCGAGUGAAGUGGGAAACAUACUCGUUCAGCCCAACGAUAAAAUCCAUUCUUAGCUGGCUAGGCUUCUGUCUUCCAGCUGGAGGGAAUUGUAGCAUCGUAAAAUAAAUACACAAACACACACAAUACACUGUGUAAAAAAACAUAUCAAAUGUUGUAUCUAACUUAACGUAAAAAAAUUACAUCGUUGCAACUACAUACUUACCCAAACACACAGCGUUUAGCGCUGGAAAGCAAGUCUAUUACACGCCAUAGAGUGUGACAGCCACGUUUGCCUUUGGUAAACUUAACUACACGCAAUGUAUUGUAUGCUUUUACAAGAUACGUAAUUCAUUCGAUCAAUAACUAACAAACUUUAACCCUGAGUCGAGUUGUUUGGGACUACAGCUCAAAUUGUUUGGUGGUGGUAAUGACACAUCAAAGGCUAAAUAUUGGUGUUUAAUACGAUUGCAACGGAGACCGAUAGCAAACAAGUACCGUAAGGAAACGAUGAAAAGCAUCCUUUUUAGCACGUGCGUCACUCUGUGUACGUACAAGCUCCAUCGGGAGUGAAAGAGAGAGU